AAAUUGAAGAGUUUGAUCAUGGCUCAGAUUGAACGCUGGCGGCAGGCCUAACACAUGCAAGUCGAGCGGUAGCACAGAGAGCUUGCUCUCGGGUGACGAGCGGCGGACGGGUGAGUAAUGUCUGGGAAACUGCCUGAUGGAGGGGGAUAACUACUGGAAACGGUAGCUAAUACCGCAUAACGUCGCAAGACCAAAGUGGGGGACCUUCGGGCCUCAUGCCAUCAGAUGUGCCCAGAUGGGAUUAGCUAGUAGGUGGGGUAACGGCUCACCUAGGCGACGAUCCCUAGCUGGUCUGAGAGGAUGACCAGCCACACUGGAACUGAGACACGGUCCAGACUCCUACGGGAGGCAGCAGUGGGGAAUAUUGCACAAUGGGCGCAAGCCUGAUGCAGCCAUGCCGCGUGUGUGAAGAAGGCCUUCGGGUUGUAAAGCACUUUCAGCGGGGAGGAAGGCGGUGAGGUUAAUAACCUCAUCGAUUGACGUUACCCGCAGAAGAAGCACCGGCUAACUCCGUGCCAGCAGCCGCGGUAAUACGGAGGGUGCAAGCGUUAAUCGGAAUUACUGGGCGUAAAGCGCACGCAGGCGGUCUGUCAAGUCGGAUGUGAAAUCCCCGGGCUUAACCUGGGAACUGCAUUCGAAACUGGCAGGCUAGAGUCUUGUAGAGGGGGGUAGAAUUCCAGGUGUAGCGGUGAAAUGCGUAGAGAUCUGGAGGAAUACCGGUGGCGAAGGCGGCCCCCUGGACAAAGACUGACGCUCAGGUGCGAAAGCGUGGGGAGCAAACAGGAUUAGAUACCCUGGUAGUCCACGCCGUAAACGAUGUCGAUUUGGAGGUUGUGCCCUUGAGGCGUGGCUUCCGGAGCUAACGCGUUAAAUCGACCGCCUGGGGAGUACGGCCGCAAGGUUAAAACUCAAAUGAAUUGACGGGGGCCCGCACAAGCGGUGGAGCAUGUGGUUUAAUUCGAUGCAACGCGAAGAACCUUACCUGGUCUUGACAUCCACAGAACUUUCCAGAGAUGGAUUGGUGCCUUCGGGAACUGUGAGACAGGUGCUGCAUGGCUGUCGUCAGCUCGUGUUGUGAAAUGUUGGGUUAAGUCCCGCAACGAGCGCAACCCUUAUCCUUUGUUGCCAGCGGUUAGGCCGGGAACUCAAAGGAGACUGCCAGUGAUAAACUGGAGGAAGGUGGGGAUGACGUCAAGUCAUCAUGGCCCUUACGACCAGGGCUACACACGUGCUACAAUGGCAUAUACAAAGAGAAGCGACCUCGCGAGAGCAAGCGGACCUCAUAAAGUAUGUCGUAGUCCGGAUUGGAGUCUGCAACUCGACUCCAUGAAGUCGGAAUCGCUAGUAAUCGUAGAUCAGAAUGCUACGGUGAAUACGUUCCCGGGCCUUGUACACACCGCCCGUCACACCAUGGGAGUGGGUUGCAAAAGAAGUAGGUAGCUUAACCUUCGGGAGGGCGCUUACCACUUUGUGAUUCAUGACUGGGGUGAAGUCGUAACAAGGUAACCGUAGGGGAACCUGCGGUUGGAUCACCUCCUUA
rnacentral:rRNA from 1 species